GAUGACGGUGUUCUUUAAAACGCUUCGAAAUCACUGGAAGAAAACUACAGCUGGGCUCUGCCUGCUGACCUGGGGAGGCCAUUGGCUCUAUGGAAAACACUGUGAUAACCUCCUAAGGAGAGCAGCCUGUCAAGAAGCUCAGGUGUUUGGCAAUCAACUCAUUCCUCCCAAUGCACAAGUGAAGAAGGCCACUGUUUUUCUCAAUCCUGCAGCUUGCAAAGGGUAGUUCCGUUUGUGACUUGUUAUAUACUUGCUUUUUCUAAGGGGGAAAGAAAUCACAGACUAUCAGGCAGCUAGUGAGAUUGUGUGGAAUUGGAAGAACUAGGUUUAGUACUCUUCUAGCAAUAAGAUUCAUUUGUAAUGUAGAAAUAACAGUUAAAUGAGAAAUAACUAUAAAACUAAUGGAUGCUUAGCAAACUUGUCUAAUUGAAGUUUAAUAAUCAUUCCAUGAUUAACACCUACAAAGAUGUCUUAUUUGCUUGGAAGUAGUCCCCUCGGGAGCGACUGCUGUACUGCUAGGACGUAAAUCCUUAGGCCAUCUCUGUCCACAGGAUGUUCAGAAAUGGCCAAGAAUACUGUGGGCUUGGGAGAUCAGAAAUGUUCUUUCCAAAAGAGAUGAUCCUUGAGCUAGACCUGGGAGGAAGCAGGCAGGAGAAGACUACCCAUUCUUCUCAGCUGAGGAAACAGCCCAUGGGACAGGGGCCUGGAGACAGGAGUGACCUAGUUAUGGCUUUGUUAUGACACAGGACAGCCUUUAACUGAACUGGCUGGCCUGGAAAUGUCAUGUGGGAAUUGUGGGAAUUAAGGUGUGAAGAAUUGUUGAGACUUGGGUAUAUAAUGAUUUGAUCAUGGCAGUUCAUUGAUUAUACAAAUGAACCACACUAAAACGUGGAGAGGCUGUAUGUGGGGGUGGGGAGUGGG
rnacentral:lncRNA from 10 species